GACGAACGCUGGCGGCGUGCUUAACACAUGCAAGUCGAACGGAAAGGCCCUGCUUUUGUGGGGUGCUCGAGUGGCGAACGGGUGAGUAACACGUGAGUAACCUGCCCUUGACUUUGGGAUAACUUCAGGAAACUGGGGCUAAUACCGGAUAGGAGCUCCUGCUGCAUGGGGGGGGUUGGAAAGUUUCGGCGGUUGGGGAUGGACUCGCGGCUUAUCAGCUUGUUGGUGGGGUAGUGGCUUACCAAGGCUUUGACGGGUAGCCGGCCUGAGAGGGUGACCGGCCACAUUGGGACUGAGGUACGGCCCAGACGCCUACGGGAGGCAGCAGUGGGGAGUAUUGCACAAUGGGCGGAAGCCUGAUGCAGCGACGCCGCGUGCGGGAUGACGGCCUUCGGGUUGUAAACCGCUUUCGCCUGUGACGAAGCGUGAGUGACGGUAAUGGGUAAAGAAGCACCGGCUAACUACGUG
rnacentral:rRNA from 1 species